rnacentral:rRNA from 1 species
UAGAGAAUCUUCCGCAAUGGACGCAAGUCUGACGGAGCAACGCCGCGUGAGUGAAGAAGGAUUUCGGUUCGUAAAACUCUGUUGUUAGAGAAGAACAGCGCAUAGAGUAACUGUUAUGCGUGUGACGGUAUCUAACCAGAAAGCCACGGCUAACUACGUGCCAGCAGCCGCGGUAAUACGUAGGUGGCAAGCGUUGUCCGGAUUUAUUGGGCGUAAAGCGAGCGCAGGCGGUCAAUUAAGUCUGAUGUGAAAGCCCCCGGCUCAACCGGGGAGGGUCAUUGGAAACUGGUUGAAUUGAGUGCAGAAGAGGAGAGUGGAAUUCCAUGUGUAGCAGUGAAAUGCGUAGAUAUAUGGAGGAACACCAGUGGCGAAGGCGACUUUCUGGCCAUAAUCUGACGCUGAGGUACGAAAGCGUGGGUAGCAAACAGG